rnacentral:lncRNA from 1 species
GUCAUUUUACCUCUGGGGAAUAAACACUUAUUAAAGGCACGGCUAGCGAUGUGAAAAAGUUCAUAGCUUAAGAGCUUGUACUUGAACUUUACUUAGGGAGGGAACCGUCUUUGAUCAGGAAAAUCUUCUGUUAGAUGAAUCACCUGGGGCAAGGCGAGCGCCUGAAAGACAAGGCUGACAGGGACUGUAGAGAUAAAGGAUGUGGAAGAUUUCAGGAGCAUUUCCGGUGAGAAGAGGAGGUGGCAAUUGGAGAAAGAGAAGACAGGAUGGGAGCAAUCAAGAAAACCUGGAGCAGAGAGGAGUACUGAGCCAGAACAAGGUUGUAUGAGAAAUAGGCUUCAGAGUGUUUAUCAG